GACGAACGCUGGCGGCGUGCCUAAUACAUGCAAGUCGAACGAACGGAUAAAGAGCUUGCUCUUUUGAAGUUAGUGGCGGACGGGUGAGUAACACGUGGGUAACCUGCCUCACAGCUGGGGAUAACAUCGAGAAAUCGAUGCUAAUACCGAAUGUGCUGAACAUCAUAAGAUGUUCAAGUGAAAGACGGUUUCGGCUGUCACUGUGAGAUGGACCCGCGCUGGAUUAGCUAGUUGGUAAGGUAAUGGCUUACCAAGGCGACGAUCCAUAGCCGACCUGAGAGGGUGAUCGGCCACAUUGGGACUGAGACACGGCCCAAACUCCUACGGGAGGCAGCAGUAGGGAAUCUUCGGCAAUGGACGAAAGUCUGACCGAGCAACGCCGCGUGAGCGAAGAAGGCCU
rnacentral:rRNA from 1 species